GGGACACUGAUUACUAACAGUAAAAUGUCUACAAAUAUUUGAAUGUAGAUAGAACAUGGAUUUGAACGUCUAUGACACUCUUCCGAGCUGACACAGUGAAGAACAUGGAAGGAGAACUCA
rnacentral:sRNA from 1 species